rnacentral:misc_RNA from 1 species
AACUUUUGACAAUGGAUCUCUUGGCUCUCGCAUCGAUGAAGAACGCAGCGAAAUGCGAUAAGUAAUGUGAAUUGCAUAAUUCAGUGAAUCAUCGAAUCUUUGAACGCACCUUGCGCCCUUUGGCUAUUCUGAAGGGCAUGCCUGUUUGAGUAUCAUGAACACCUCAACUCUCAUGGUCCGCCAUGAUGAGCUUGGACUUUGGGGGUCUUGCCGGCCCAGUGUCGGCUCCUCUCAAAUGGAUCAGCUUGCCAGUGUUUGGUGGCGUCACAGGUGUGAUAACUAUCUACGCUUGUGGUUUUCUGCCAUAUAACCUUCAGUGAUGGAGGUUCUCUGGAGCUCACAGAUGUCUCUCCUUGGGGAGGACAGCUUUUGAACGUUUGAUCUCAAAUCAGGUAGGACUACCCGCUGAACUUAAGCAUAUCAAUAAGCGGAGGCU